rnacentral:misc_RNA from 1 species
CAAAAUGGCCCACAAAGUUAAGAAUAUAAAUGAGUUGUUGAAUAAGAUCAAGAAUGAAGCCAUGGGUUAUGGACUUCAAGUUGUAACUAAAGAUAGAAUAAUGCCUCAAAUCGACUUGGAUCGGGUCACAGACUCGGUCCUCGACGACCCAGUUGUGGGUAGGGAAGCUGAUGUCUCUAAAAUUGUGAACAUGUUGAACUGUUCCAAUGGCCAACAAGUUCUUACCAUCGUUUCCAUAGUGGGGAUGGGCGGUCUGGGAAAGACAACCUUAGCUAAAUUGGUUUGUCAAGAAGUAAUGGCAAAAAGGUUUUUUGAUCUUAAAAUAUGGGUUUGUGUCUCUGAUAACUUUGAUGAACAAAGAAUUUUGGGGGAAAUGCUGCAAACUCUCAAUGCAAAUAUGGGUGGGAUGACCAACAAAGAUGCAAUACUUCAACAACUUGAAAAGGCAUUAGAAAGCAAAAAGUUUCUACUUGUUCUUG